AUUGAACGCUGGCGGCAGGCCUAACACAUGCAAGUCGAACGGUAACAGAAAGCAGCUUGCUGCUUUGCUGACGAGUGGCGGACGGGUGAGUAAUGUCUGGGAAACUGCCUGAUGGAGGGGGAUAACUACUGGAAACGGUAGCUAAUACCGCAUAACGUCGCAAGACCAAAGAGGGGGACCUUCGGGCCUCUUGCCAUCGGAUGUGCCCAGAUGGGAUUAGCUAGUAGGGGGGGUAAAGGCUCACCUAGGCGACGAUCCCUAGCUGGUCUGAGAGGAUGACCAGCCACACGGGAACUGAGACACGGUCCAGACGCCUACGGGAGGCAGCAGGGGGGAAUAUUGCACAAUGGGCGCAAGCCUGAUGCAGCCAUGCCGCGUGUAUGAAGAAGGCCUUCGGGUUGUAAAGUACUUUCAGCGGGGAGGAAGGGAGUAAAGUUAAUACCUUUGCUCAUUGACGUUACCCGCAGAAGAAGCACCGGCUAACUCCGU
rnacentral:rRNA from 1 species